CAGCUCUUGCCUCCCGGCGGCCUCUGCAGGCCCAAGUCGUCCUCAAGUCAGCCUGGAAGUGGGCCUGGAAGAGCUGCAAGUCGGCCUCCCCGGGCCCAGCUCCGUCCUCUCGGCGGCCUCUCCAGGCCUAAGUCGUCCUCAAGUCGGCCUGGAAGUGGGCCUGGAAGAGCUGCAAGUCGGCCUCCCCGGGCCCAGCUCCGUCCUCUCGGCGGCCUCUCCAGGUGCAAAACUUCCUCGAGUCAGCCUCUCCAGGCCCAGCUCCUCCUGCCUCCCAGUGGCCUCUUUCGGCCCAGCCCAGCUCAUGGCUCUCGGCAGUCUUCCCAGGCCCCGCUUUUGACUUUUGGUGGCCUCUUCAGGCCCAGAACUUGACCUCCAGUCGGCCUUGGCAGGCCCGGCCUCCUGCCUCUCGAAGGCCUACACGGGCCCAGCCUCGGCUUCACAGUGGACUCUCCACGCCCAGCUAGCUCUCGCCUCACUGCAGCCUCCCCAGUCCAAAGCUCCUGCCUUUCGGCCACUUCGGCAGGCCCAGCUCCUGCUGGCCAGUGGCCUCUUUAGGCCCAGCUCAUUCC
rnacentral:lncRNA from 1 species